UCUGACCUCAAAUCAGGUAGGACUACCCGCUGAACUUAAGCAUAUCAAUAAGCGGAGGAAAAGAAACUAACAAGGAUUCCCCUAGUAACUGCGAGUGAAGCGGGAAAAGCUCAAAUUUAAAAUCUGGCAGCUUUGGCUGUCCGAGGUGUAGUCUGGAGAAGCGUUUUCUGUGCUGGACCGUGUACAAGUCUCUUGGAACAGAGCGUCGUAGAGGGUGAGAAUCCCGUCUUUGACACGGACUCCCAGUGCUUUGUGAUGCGCUCUCAAAGAGUCGAGUUGUUUGGGAAUGCAGCUCAAAAUGGGUGGUAAAUUCCAUCUAAAGCUAAAUAUUGGCGAGAGACCGAUAGCGAACAAGUACCGUGAGGGAAAGAUGAAAAGCACUUUGGAAAGAGAGUUAAACAGUACGUGAAAUUGCUGAAAGGGAAACGAUUGAAGUCAGUCGCGUCGGCCAGAACUCAGCCUGGCUUUUGCCUGGUGCAUUUUCUGGUUGACGGGCCAGCAUCAAUUUUGAUCGCUGGAUAAAGGCCUUGGGAAUGUGGCACCUUCGGGUGUGUUAUAGCCCUUGGUUGUAUACAGUGGUUGGGAUUGAGGAUCACAGCAUGCCUUUAUGGCCGGGGUUCGCCCACGUUCAUGCUUAGGAUGCUGGCGUAAUGGCUUUAAACGACCCGUCUUGAAACACGGACCAAGGAGUCUAACAUGCCUGCGAGUGUUUGGGUGGAAAACCCGAGCGCGCAAUGAAAGUGAAAGUUGGGAUCCCUGUCGCGGGGAGCACCGACGCCCGGACCAGACCUUUUGUGACGGAUCCGCGGUAGAGCAUGUAUGUUGGGACCCGAAAGAUGGUGAACUAUGCCUGAAUAGGGUGAAGCCAGAGGAAACUCUGGUGGAGGCUCGUAGCGAUUCUGACGUGCAAAUCGAUCGUCAAAUUUGGGUAUAGGGGCGAAAGACUAAUCGAACCAUCUAGUAGCUGGUUCCUGCCGAAGUUUCCCUCAGGAUAGCAGAAACUCAUGUCAGAUUUAUGUGGUAAAGCGAAUGAUUAGAGGCCUUGGGGUUGAAACAACCUUAACCUAUUCUCAAACUUUAAAUAUGUAAGA
rnacentral:rRNA from 1 species